rnacentral:rRNA from 1 species
AGGGUGUAAACGCUGCGGGCUUGGUGUUGGGGGUCCUUAGUGGGCGCCCAGUGCCGGAGAGAAGUUGUUAAGCCUGCUGCUUGGGGAGUAUGUCCGCAAGGAUGAAACUUAAAGGAAUUGGCGGGGGAGGCACCGCAACGGGAGGAGCGUGCGGUUCAAUUGGAUUCAACGCCGAAAAACUCACCAGGAGCGACGGAUAUAUGAAGGUCAAGCUGAUGACUUUACCUGAUUUUCCGAGAGGUGGUGCAUGGCGUAGUCGUGU